rfam:Pseudomonas sp. HPB0071 genomic scaffold aczIi-supercont1.1, whole genome shotgun sequence.
UUCGAUCUCGCAACGACACAAACGCGUGUCGCCCUCUGCAUGCCUUCGCCGAUUCUCUUACUAGAAUAACCAACGCGAUUCUGUCGUUAGCCGCGGCGAGGC